GCACAAGCAGCAGAGCUGAUCACCGUGAAGGCCAGGUCAAAUGUCACAGAAAGCCAUGUGGAGGCUCUGAGGAGAGAUGGUGAAGUCAAACAGGUGGCUUUCUCAGCCUCUCUGUUGGCUUCAGGCUCAGGGCAUGUUGGACCAUUUAACACACACACUCCUUUGGUGUUCGGGCACGUGGUCACAAACAUUGGAAAUGCUUACAGCCCAAACACAGGUUUCUUCAUUGCACCAGUGAGAGGAGCAUACCACUUUGAGUUCUACAUAGGUGCAAAUGGACAUCCUUCACAUCCUUCAGUUGCUGCGUUGGUGAAAAAUGGAGGACAUAUUUUGGUUGCAUAUGAGCAUCAGACUUCUGGGUAUGGGAGCUCUGCUAAAGGUGUAACUCUGCUUCUAGAGGUCGGAGAUAUUGUGUGCCUGCAUCUUUGGAGGAAUGCAUGGAUUUAUGAUGAUGGAAAUCACUAUAGCACUUUCAGUGGUCAUCUGCUUUUCACCAUGUAAGAUGGGAAUGUCUAUUGUUGUUUUUAAUUUGCUUCAUUCAAAUGUACACAUGGCAAAAGUACAUUUUCUUUUUGUUUUACA